rnacentral:lncRNA from 1 species
UUCCAAUCAAAUCAGGAGAAAAGUUCCUGUUCUAUUUUUUGUAGAUGAAAAUGUCUGAGUUUGGUUUCAUAGUAUUGUCUGAUAUCUCCACCUCUUCGAUCUCCACCCGUUCCUCCUCCUCCUCUCUCCACAGAAUAGUGUUAUGCUGGAAAAACUUAAGAUGAACUGAUUAUUAUUAGUUCAGAAAUGCUUGAAGAAUAUUUUCUGUUGUUUUUUUUUUUUUUAGCUGACAUCCUCCCUGUAGAAAAACGAUCAUGAAAUGUAACCAUCCACUCAGAGACCGGUUUAGCAAGCAAACAAGGUCUGCCAAUCUCUGUCACAGAGCGGGCUCUGCUGCUCUUGGCGAAUGGGGAGCCAUUUUCGACCUGGAUUUGAAUCAGAAUCUGAAUCUGGAUCUGAAUCUGGAUCUGGAUCUGAAUCUGGAUCUGAAUCUGGAUCUGAAUCUGGAUUUGAAUCAGAAUCUGAAUCUGGAUCUGAAUCUGAAUCUGGAUCUGAAUCUGGAUCUGAAUCUGGAUCCAGCUGUGUGUCCUUCAGGAGUGACAAGUCAAAGGACUUUAAUCCUGACUUCAAGUCCAUCAGUCCAGGAGUGAAACAGAGCCAUUUUCGACCUGGAUCUGAAUCUGGAUCUGAAUCUGAAUCUGGAUCUGAAUCUGGAUCUGAAUCUGGAUUUGAAUCAGAAUCUGAAUCUGGAUCUGAAUCUGGAUCUGGAUCUGAAUCUGGAUCUGAAUCUGGAUCCAGCUGUGUGUCCUUCAGGAGUGACAAGUCAAAGGACUUUAAUCCUGACUUCAAGUCCAUCAGUCCAGGAGUGAAACAGUAAGUGUUUGUCAGAGUUAAAGGAGGCUGGAUAAUAGUUCAGAUGAUCAAUAGUUUUCAGAUAAAUGAUUGAGAUCUGGUUCAGUUUUUGAUCUCUCUGAUCAGACUCACUUGGAGCUAAGGCUGGGCAUUGGUUAUAAUUUCCAGAAUCGAUUCGAUUUCA